rnacentral:rRNA from 1 species
CCUACGGGUGACAGCAGUGAGGAAUAUUGGUCAAUGGACGAGAGUCUGAACCAGCCAAGUAGCGUGAAGGAUGACUGCCCUAUGGGUUGUAAACUUCUUUUAUAUGGGAAUAAAACGUUUCACGUGUGGGAUUUUGUAUGUACCAUAUGAAUAAGGAUCGGCUAACUCCGUGCCAGCAGCCGCGGUAAUACGGAGGAUCCGAGCGUUAUCCGGAUUUAUUGGGUUUAAAGGGAGCGUAGGUGGAUUGUUAAGUCAGUUGUGAAAGUUUGCGGCUCAACCGUAAAAUUGCAGUUGAAACUGGCAGUCUUGAGUACAGUAGAGGUGGGCGGAAUUCGUGGUGUAGCGGUGAAAUGCUUAGAUAUCACGAAGAACUCCGAUUGCGAAGGCAGUUCACUGGACUGCAACUGACACUGAGGCUCGAAAGUGUGGGUAUCAAACAGGAUUAGAUACCCGAGUAGUC